CACUCUAGAGAGACUGCCAGGGAUAACCUGGAGGAAGGUGGGGAUGACGUCAAAUCAUCAUGCCCCUUAUGCUUAGGGCUACACACGUGCUACAAUGGGUAGUACAGAGGGUUGCCAAGCCGUAAGGCGGAGCUAAUCCCUUAAAGCUACUCUCAGUUCGGAUUGUAGGCUGAAACUCGCCUACAUGAAGCUGGAGUUACUAGUAAUCGCAGAUCAGAAUGCUGCGGUGAAUGCGUUCCCGGGUCUUGUACACACCGCCCGUCAAACCACGGGAGUUGGAGACGCCCGAAGCCGAUUAUCUAACCUUUUGGAAGAAGUCGUCGAAGGUGGAAUCAAUAACGGGGGUGAAGUCGUAACAAGGUAGCCGUAUCGGAAGGUGCGGCUGGAUCACCUCCUUUCUAAGGAGA
rnacentral:rRNA from 1 species